rnacentral:lncRNA from 1 species
CAAAAACAAGUUCCAUCUGAGUAGUCCAUAUAAACCUUAUUAUUUGGUACAUCCGAUAAAGCUCCGAGUAGGAGCAAAUAUAUGCUUCAUUAAACAACAAAAAGUUUAUAGGUAAUAGAGAGAAGGUCACUAAUCUGAUUGGUUGGAUGAUUGUGUGGAGCAGGAAGUCCCCUUAUAAAUUGGAUCACAAUAGACCACCACUCCAUCAGUUGCUUCUGUCUUGGACUCCGCUGCCCCUGGCUGAACACUAACCACUUCAAACUGAUCUUUCAAGAGUAGAUAACAUCUGUAAAUUUAAAACAAACUGCAUCAAGAUUAUGUACACAGCAUGAACUAGAUAACAAGAGUGAUGCAGGACAUGGAUUGAUGAAGGAAUAAAGGAGAACAAAAAAAAAAAAAUUAAAAAAGGCUUAAAAAGCACAAAUCACAAAGGCUUGAAACCAGUAUAAUCAAUUCAAUGAAUAAUAAUGAUGAGUUACAUCAGUUUCUAGUCUAGGGGUUAACAAACCUACAACUUGAACAUCAAGAAAAAUCCUAAUAUUAUAUAUGUAACUUAAAUUUAAGAGGAAAACAAAUCCUGAAUAAUAAUCUACUAUAAUUAAAAAGUCUAGAAUAAUUAACCUGAUAACAUAAAGGGAAAAUAACAUAUAGUGUGUCACUCUAGAUAGGUUAUCUAGAGGAUCAAGACAAGCAAAAAAGACGUAGUAUAGAUUAGUGAAUGACACAUUUGUAAAUAUGUCCAUUUGAUUUUUGAUUGAUUGAAUGUCAACAUAUUUACAAAGGUGUCGCUCACUAAUUUAAGCUACACGUCGUUUUGCAUGUUCUACUAGAUAACUUAUCUAAGUAACACACAAUAUGUUACCCUAUAAUAGACGAUAACAAAUUAUUACAAUCACUUUAUAUCUAAACAAAACAUAAAAUAUUCAAUAACAAUAUUAACUAAUUGCUUGGUCUCAUCCUCAUCAUUUUUAUCUUCUUUAAAAAAUGUAUUAAAAAAUUAUAAAAACAAAAAAGGAUGAAGAAGAAGAAAGAAAAAACCCGUCCUCGAGUUUUAAAGUAUGGGAGAAUCUAUAAGCCAUAAAAUGGAAUCCAAAUAUGAGAUAAAGCUUGAAACCAGUGAUCUCUUGGAAGCCAUAAAUAUACGUCUUCUCAACAUUUCCUCAUUGAAGUUGUCAGGUAUGAUGAAGCCAAUGCGUUGAAAGCUUAAAUGUUUCAUAUAUCAAUUUUAAAUGAGGAUUUUGCUAUCUCAACACAUUCAUUUGCUUCUUCGGUUUUAGUUUUAACAACGUUAAUCUUUGAUUAUUUCUUCAACUUCAACUUUUUCUUCAGCCUCUCAUAUUUUUUCAGCUUCGAGUUUGUCCAUGCUCUCCUUCGAUAUUUUUUGCAAAAUUCUGAAGAGCCCAUACUUUUUGGUUGCCUCAGCAUCGCUUUUAAAUGUUAUUCAUAAUUUCCCUCCCACACAGACACAAAAUUAAGCAUAUAUUUUUCUAUUUACAAUUUCUGUUUUUCAUGAAAAAUAUGCCUGCGUAUCUCAAGUAUGGCAAUCAUUGGCUUGUGGUCGUCUUUUAUGGAUAGAGUUUGAUGAACCAAAUAAGGAUAUAAUUAUAUUUUUGGUCUUGAACAAAAUACAAAAGAGAAUAGCACUUGGAUGUUUCCUCAUAACGUGUCUUUAAAGCUUCAAGGCUUUGUUCAUCUUAUUGUAGAGUGUAGUGUAGCACACACUCCCGUAACUAAAUUGUUAUCUGAAACGUGGUUAGUUUCAGUUCAUAAAACCGAUACGGGUAUGAGGUGCGCUACAAAGGCUAAAACGUGUAUGUGAUGACAGCUUUAUGUUGGUGCUUAUAUUUAGGAACUCUUAGAAUCUAAUAUAACUAAAUAAAAAAAAAUUAGUUGAACCAACAAGUAAAUUGUUUAAUAAACAGCAUCAUUGUUUGAGCAUCUAAUAUUAAGUUAACAUAUUGAUAUUUUUGCAACUAUAGGUAAUACAAAAAAAUAAUAUUUCGGUAUGCUAAAUUUAGGGGGUGUUUGUUACAGAUCAUGAAAGAUACCCGUCAAAACUCAGAUUACUACGUAUUUGAUUACUGCCUACUGGUAAUGGAAACUGGUCAAUUUUCGUUUGGUGAAAGUUAUUUGAUUACCAAUAAUUGUUAUUAGUGAGUGUUUGGUAAGAAUUCAAGAUUACAAGGUAUAUUUUUUGUUAACAAUCGUCUUUUUCUAAAAUGUCCCAUAUACUAAUUUAUGUCAAAUAAUUCACUAAAUGGAUUCUUGCCAAAUGGAAUUCAACGAUCAAAACAAUCCAAAUAAUUAAUUCACUAAAAUUUAAUGACACGUAUUAAAUAUUUUAUUAGUUUAUAAAAUAAUAACUCAUAAUAUAUUCAAUUAUUAAAUUAAAAAUAUUAAUUAAUUAAGUCAAUUAAGAACAUAAAUAUAUUAAACUUAUAAUAAUAAACAACAAAAUAAGACGAACAAGAACAUAAGGAUAUUUAUGUCCAAAUAAUUAAAAUAAAAAAGAGUACAUUUGAUAUAUAUGAAUAUUCACUUGGUAAAUAUUUUGUAUUUGUGAUAAAUAAUGAUAUUUAUGCUUAAAUUACUAAAAUAUGAGAGAUAUCGUUGUCGAUAUAAAGAUAUCAAGAUGGUCAACAUGUGGUAAUUUAAAAUUAUCACCUAUUUUUUGGUCAUCCAAAUACCCACCUCAAGUGGAAAAUCUUGACACUUUACCAGAUCUAAGGAUUACCAAGAAUAUAAAAUUACCAAGAUAACAAACAAGAUUUACAAGGAUGACCGACUCAAAUUACAGCAUAUCCAAGAUGACCAUUUCAAAUGACUUGUAACAAACGUCCCCUUAAUAUGUAAGAGUAUCAUGCUUGGGUACACAAGUACCAAUAUAUAGUUCUCUAGGUCAAUAAUAAAAGUAUUUGGUAACUCUAGAACCCUAAAACCAGAUUGGACAGUAAAACCUUGUAAAUUUCUCGUGCUAAACAAAAAUUCUAAAGUCACUAUUUGAGGCCAAUGAAAGUCUGGAUGUUCCAAAUAAUACUUUGACAAAAAAAAAAUGACUUAAUUGUCUAAGCUAAUAAAGCUGAAUUCACCACUCUCUAAUUAGUCAUAAAAUAUAGCAGCAAAGCCGUAAAAGGUCUUUUCCAAGAUUUUACAUGAUGGGUCAUCAUAAGUGAACACUAGUUCAAUAUCCAACACGGAAACUGCUCCCCAAGUGGUACAUCAGCAAAGCGCGACCAGAAACUAAUCCUUCUAUCCCACCACCCACAAAGUAAGAUUGAGGAACUACUGUAGUGAUUGUUUUUCUAAACACCUCCUCUAUACAGGAAAGCUCCUGAGGCAAAAACCCUCUCUCCAGCCAAACGAAAGACAACUGAAGACAACCCUCCUCCAAAGACUAAUUUCUACCACCAAAAUUCUCCAAAGCCAUUUACCCAACAAAGAUUGGUAGAAAGUGCCCUAUGUCUUGAAUGCCCAAGCCCAAGCCCAAGCCCAACCCAAUAGACCUAAGCAGCUCUAGAUAAAAAGGUCAUAUUUCCCUUUUAUCGUUACCUCUUUUGAAGUCUCUUGGUAAUUGGAUCCCAAAUGGCUCCGAAUUUAAAAGUGACAACCAAAGGUGAUGAGGAUGGAAGCAAAAGGAAUUUAAUAUUAUUGAGUUAUUAUUAUUUAUGGAUAAUUCCAACGUAAUUAGUUUAUUUAGUACAUAAUAUUAGGAUAUAUUUAAUUAUAUUAGUAGAAUAUUCAAGAGUAUUAAUUAUUUAAGGUAGUAGAUAAUUACUAGAAUUUUAUUUCCUUAUUUAAAUAGGUUACACAAUAUUUUAUUUAGCCUCCAAGUAUUAGAAUUUUCUUAUGCCUAUAUAAAAUGUUGUAAUCUAUGAUUAUUAAUUAUUGAAUCAUUGAUAUUAUUGAAUUAAAUCUUCUGAUUUGUGGCUUUUAGUCUUGUUAUCUUCUUUGAAUUCCCUUUAUUCUUUCAUCCAUCCUUGUGCUACAUCAAAAGGAAAGCACACUAAGACAUCAUAAAAGAACCAGCCGAACAACCCAAAUAGAAGCUAAAUUCUCCACAUUAUCCACCUAACCAACCGAAAACAUGGCACUUUUCUGCAAAUAAAUUCUCAAAACCAAAAAAUGCUUCAAAACAAAUCAGGAUACACCUCAAAGCCCACAAAUUCUCGGUUACUGCAUCAUAGAAAUUUCGGCAAUCAGAAGAUGAGAAACCAACAUUAAGGCCCUUCCCAACCUCCCAAUUGUAAAACCAUGAAUAAAAGCAUUUUUUUCAACCAACAUCCGUUGGGCCUAGAGGAAGAAGCCUGAUGCCCCUUAAGAAAUGUCUCGAGUUCGAGUCUUGUGAAUGGAAAAAACAGUUUUAAGGAGACACCCCCCCCCCCUCCCCCNNNNNNNNNNNNNNNNNNNNNNNNNNNNNNNNNNNNNNNNNNNNNNNNNNNNNNNNNNNNNNNNNNNNNNNNNNNNNNNNNNNNNNNNNNNNNNNNNNNNUCAAAAAAAAAAAAAACGAAAGAAUUUUUCAAUGAUUUUUCCGGAAAACAUGCUCAGAGUCCAUAACAAGAAGGAAAAGCAAGGAAAAUAAGAAAAUUCAAAGUAAGUGACAAAGACCCUAUUUUUCUAAGUGAAUCCUGAAAAAAGUUAUUCACGUUAAUUGGCACUAGAGAUCCUCACCCUCAAAGUAGUGAUGAGUGCAGUGAGCAAGCGCUUGAAGAUAAUGUUAGGAGCAUGUUAGUGGCUCCUAUUAGUAAAGGCCAAUAAAAAGUAUAAAUUUGAGAAUCAUGUAUUUUAUUUUCAUGAAAAUCAUCUCUUCUUUUUUUUGUCAAUUCUACCCUAAUCUACUUUUUCUUCCUUCCAUAACUCUUAAUCUAGUCUGAAUUAUCUUUUAUUAAGUUCAAAUCAUUAUAAGGAUCCUCAUUGAUCCAAAAAGAGCACCCAAUGCAUAUAUAUGUUGAAUUGUCAAAGUUCUUAUAAAUAGGUAUGGUAAGUGGUAACAGGUAUGGUCCGGGCGACCCCUUCUCAUACCCUCCCCGCCAAUAACUAGCUAUCCCCCGAACCCGACCCCGUAAACAAUAUCUCAUACUCACCUCGUUUACCCGAUUACUUCGUUAUUUACCAAAUUAAAAGUUUUUACUCUUUUUAUAUUACUUUGUACAACUACUUUAAAUUCAAAAUCAAACAUACAAUAUUUCUAUUACUAGCAACAUAUUAUAUUAUUAACGUAAUGAAUUUAAAAUGAAAUAACCUAAACAAGUACAUAAUUAUAUAUAUACAAAAUACUAAUUAAAAUAUAUAAAUAUAUACGUAAAAUCGGGUUAGGGUGGGGGUGAGGGGUAUAUCCCAUAGCCGACCCUUAUAGGAUUUAAAAAAUUGGGUCCCAUCGAGAUCGGGCGGGCCCCGUCAANNNNNNNNNNNNNNNNNNNNNNNNNNNNNNNNNNNNNNNNNNNNNNNNNNNNNNNNNNNNNNNNNNNNNNNNNNNNNNNNNNNNNNNNNNNNNNNNNNNNAAUAGGAUCGGGAUCGGGCGGGCCCCGUCAGGUUCGAGUGAAAUUAUCAGGCCUUAUAAAUGGUAUCAUAUGAUCUUAUUGAGUUAAUAAAGCAUGGAAUAAAUCAUGAAAUAAAUCAUAUAGCUAAGACGUAAAUGUAAAAUGUAUUAUGUAUAUUAGCAUGGUUAAACAUGUUUUUGUUGUUAAUCAUGAAACAGUUUUUUAAUAACUAAGUAGCUACUGAACUAGUACUUGAGAAUCAUGGACUCGCACAAUGAUAUGUAGAACAUGCCAAGUAAUUAUGAUGGUUUUGUGAAAAUGACAUGCCUGACCAUGCAAAGUAAAUAUGGUAGUUAACGGAGACCUUGUAUAAUACAAUAUAAAUUAGCAUGCUCUAUAUGACAAUGAAUUGACUGUUAAUCAUGGUUUAAUUAUAAUUUUAUGGUUAUUUGAUAUUUGGAGUAGUUAGGUUAAGUCCGGUGUUACCUCGAAUGUGGUUCAUUCCAGUACAUGGUACAAAUACGGGUACAUGGUACUAAUGGUCGAAAAAGCGAUCGAGGCGUGCGCCUCGAGAGGUUUGGGCUUUAUUCAGUUGAGGCUUACGCCUCAUAGCCUUGCGCCUCGAAGCGUAUCAUCAGUUCUUCUUCUUCUUGGUGACAGGUUCAGUUCUUCUUCUACUCUUUCUCUCUCUUCGUCUCUCUGUUUUUGGAAAAGGAAAAGAAAUAGUAUCAGAUUUAUCAUCUACCGUCUGAGUAAAU